CUUGUUACUGAUUUGUCUUCCAUCAUGAAGACGUGAUGUGCGCAAGAGGCCACGUCGCUCAGCACAGGGCCACAGCGCUGCCCAGGGAAAAGUGACUUCGCCUCAGCUACCCCCAGAGCUCGGUGAUUUCCUGGUGAACGGGAGGGGCAGAAUCCGCUUUCUCAUGUUUCAAAGCCCUCGCUGCAGGCAGUCAUCCAGAGAAAGGUUCUGCUUAGUGGUAGAACAGAGGGAAAGAAAGGCUAUUAAGGGAAUGUAACCGGGCGUAAAACAACAAAAGCAGACGCAUUUGAAGUGCAAAGCCGGAAAGCCGAUGCUCCAGGGCUGGCUGCGGGCUUCCUACUUGCCCGCGUCCUAAGGCACAUGUUGCCUUGUUCCUCAUCGCUUUUCCAGAGCAGGGGGACCCGGUCAGGCUGGGUCUAGUCUCACCACCUGUGGGCCUCAAGAGCUACCAGGAGACAGGGAGACUGUGAAUUUCUCUAAGAGUUCGUCACCCCACGUGGCACCAAUGAUAGCUUGCUCUCAGCUCUCAGGAUAAAAGCCAUGGAAGACGUAAAGCUUAAGUCUCACAAUUCCCUUCUUCAGGCUGAAUUCUUUGAAGAGCCUUGAUGGAUCCUACAUGAGACUUUUGGCAGCCUUGGUGUUCAUGAAGCUUUGUAGGCAUAAACAUGAAAUAGAAAGAGGAGACUGAAAAAUGGUCUUUUCUCUGGUGGAUACACACACUGAAACUUGCACCGAUGACAGGGAAAUUUGGAUCAACUCUGCCAAUAAGGAAAGCUUUGGAACUGAAUGAAAUAUAAAGAUACCUUCCAUUAACAAAGCAUUGAGGAAUUUACAAAACCAGAGUGUACACUAGGAGAACCCAGGAAACAAGACCUGCACCCAAAUCUGUGUGUGCUCCGAGGACAUUUUACCCUCAGAGAAAUGGCUGCAAAACUGAACUUUGUGCAAACUCCUGGGCCCCCAAAGGGAAGGCAACACCUGCAAUCCAGCACCGGUGAGGAGUCCAAUAAACCAUGCCCACUUCCAGCUGGGAUCCCAGACAGUGGCAGCUGCGGGGAAGCUGGAUCACAAGAAAGCUAAUCCCUGCAAAGAAUUGCUGGCAGGCUAAAGCCAGCUGGGUGGUCCAGGGAACCGCAAGUCUUGAACUUGGUUUGAGAUGGACUUAGUCUGGUAGCACCUCAGGUGUCAUUUUCCAAAUGAAAAUUUGGUAGAAGAUCCUGUCAUUCUAGGCUUAACCCCCAAUAGGUGCUGCCACCCUGUGUUCUCACUCUAUGUCACCCACUCCCCAAAUGCUGGGAUGAGCCUGUGACUUGCUUCAAACCAACAGAAUAUUGUUGGUUCGGUGAUGGACUGUCAUGAUAGUGAAAAAGGCAAUGGGCCAUCACUCCUGUAAAGACGUGGUGGUUUCAGCUUUAGUGGACUUGGCUCAGAUACUCUCAGUCCUGAAACUACAAAGAAUUGGACCAGGACAGCUUCCACCUGGACUUGGAAGAGGACCCGCAGCUCCAGAAAGCAAUGAGGCCUGGCAAGGCUGUGUUCACAACCCUGUGGGACCCUGCGCAGGGGAUCCCACACCCACACUCAGAGGGUCUAGAUUCCUGACCCCUGGAAAGAGUGAGGGCGCAAUUGUGUGUUGUCGCAAGUCAUUGAUUCUGUAAACAUCUGUUAACUACAAAGCAAUAGAAAAGGAAUACAGCCAGUGAUUAGAAUCAUCUUGUUUGGUAUCCAGAUUUAUUCAUAAUAAAACUAAUAUUUUAACCUCCAUUGUUUGUCUUUGUGACUACUCCUCCAUAGUUUCAGACUUGAAGGCGGGAGAAAGGUAGAAUGGUCACCUCCAACCCCAGUGCCUUGUGGUCCCUCCUCCGCGGGCCACCUUCCCAACCAUGGUUCACUCAAAAUAUCUUUGCAAAACAAGGGCAUCCAUUUUCAUUGUGUAACUCUGCUCUGAUUUUGGAGCACUCUGUCUUAAAUGUGACU